GAUGAACGCUGGCGGCGUGCCUAAUACAUGCAAGUCGAGCGAACGGACGAGAAGCUUGCUUCUCUGAUGUUAGCGGCGGACGGGCGAGUAACACGUGGAUAACCUACCUAUAAGACUGGGAUAACUUCGGGAAACCGGAGCUAAUACCGGAUGAUAUUUUGAACCGCAUGGUUCAAAAGUGAAAGACGGUCUUGCUGUCACUUAUAGAUGGAUCCGCGCUGCAUUAGCUAGUUGGUAAGGUAACGGCUUACCAAGGCAACGAUGCAUAGCCGACCUGAGAGGGUGAUCGGCCACACUGGGACGAAGACACGAUCCAAAGGCCUACGGGAGGCAGCAGUAGGGAAUCUUCCGCAAUGGGCGGAAGCCUGACGGAGCAACGCCGCGUGAGUGAUGAAGGUCUUCGGAUCGUAAAACUCUGUUAUUAGGGAAGAACAUAUGUGUAAGUAACUGUGCACAUCGUGACGGUACCUAAUCAGAAAGCCACGGGUAACUACGUG
rnacentral:rRNA from 1 species